UACGGAGGGUGCAAGCGUUGUCCGGAUUUAUUGGGUUUAAAGGGUGCGUAGGUGGCCUUAUAAGUCAGUGGUGAAAGCCUGCAGCUUAACUGUAGGACUGCCAUUGAUACUGUAAGGCUUGAGUACUGAUGAGGUAGGCGGAAUUGAUAGUGUAGCGGUGAAAUGCAUAGAUAUUAUCAAGAACACCGAUUGCGAAGGCAGCUUACUAAGGAGUUACUGACACUGAGGCACGAAAGCGUGGGGAUCAAACAGG
rnacentral:rRNA from 1 species